UACACAGCCCUGGGCUGGCAGUCACGGUGGAACGCAGGCAGUGCAUACCCACAGGACACACACAGCCCCAGACCAAGUGGCCACGAGCUCCUGUGUGCUGGACAGUUCCUUUCCUGUGGCUGCUGUAACAAAUGACCACAAAUGCGGCAGCAUGACACAACAGGAACUUAUUCUCUUCCAGUUCCGGAGGUCAGAAGUCUGAAAUGGAGGGGUUGGCAGGGCCGGGCUGUUCCUGCAGACGAAGCAAGAUGAGGAGAGGCAGUGUUUCAUCUUCAGCCUGGGUCGUGCAAGCCAAGGGUGUCUGUAAUGUCCCCUGGUGGUGGUUCCAGGAUGAAACAGCACACCCAAGAGAGUACCUUCAAGUGGAGGCCAGAUGCAAGACAGACCUGGAGUCCCAAACAUACCAAAGGCUCUUGAGCACAGGUGCCUCAGAACACAACAUUUAAGAAAACUGCAGGCCUGGACUGUGGGUGAAGACAGCAGAGGACAGAAUUAAUGCCCCCUAAACCGACACUGUUUCCUGCCUUCUUUCCCACUGCUUCUUCUAGUAGCUUCUUAUCCCAUUGUUGCCAAACUUGAUAUGUGCAUGCUAAGUCGCUUUAUUUAUGUCCAACUCUUUGUGACCCCAUGGACUGUAGUCCACCAGGCUCCUCUGUCCAUGGGACUGUCCAGGCAAGAAUACUGGAGUUGGUUACCAUGCCCUUCUCCAGGGGAUCCUCCUGACCCAGGAAUCGAACCCAUGUCUCUUCUGUCUCCUGCGGGUUGACAGGUGGGUUCUUUACCACUAGCACUAUCUGGGAAGCCUGCCUAGCUCCAUAUCAACACACUAGUCUGUAAAUUCAUGGUGGACGCUGGGAUCCCCCAAAGGAAAUGAAGAUCCCCAUUCAGAAACGAAGCACAUGUUACCUCAGAGUGACCCUCACAGAUAAGCCUCAGCCACAGUCAAGAAGAGCCUCUCUGAGGAGAGCCACCCUGAGCAAGGUCACAUCCUCGCAUCAGGCAGCCCAUGUCUAAGGACUGAUCGUCACAGGAGGAUAAAGGGCAAGCCCUCUCACUCCCCCUCCCACUUCAAAUCAGCUCUGGAGCUUGGUCCCAGCUGCAGCCAGAGGCAGCUCAAGGCUUCCACGGAAAUAUCAGCAGAUCCUGCUACCCUUUGUCUCAUUCCAUCCUGCUCCACAUCAAAGGACUCUCCUAUCAGCAUAGUUCUGCAGUCUCAGAACUGGGAUUGGAAUAGUCCAUCCAAAGCUCUGGGCGAAGCCAAAACUGCAACACAGAAGCUUAGAGCAGAAGUCAGUUCAAGGGGAUACCGAACACAAGAACUGGCCUGGAUGCUGCUUGUGGAGCUCUGCAGAUCCAAGAGCCCAGGAGGGGGUGAGGAGGAAGAGAGAGAGACGCCACUCAGAGUGUAUUGCACUGCUCAGAUUGCUCUUCUGGAAAAUUUAGCCCUAAGAAAGCCACCAGCUUUCCAGCUGUAAAUCAAUUUCAGUUAUUCCUCUCUUCCCUGACUCAAUUCCUCUCUCCUCCUCUCUUUCUCUUCUUCCCUCCCUCCCUUCUCACCUUUCUUAUCUUUCUUCCCAUUCUUCUAACUUAAUUUUUUCCAAUGAUUAAAAAAGAAAACCUAUUUAUUAUAAGCAUUUUAGAAUGCAAAGUAUUAAUAUGGAAAGAAAACUAUCACUCAGAGAUAAUCACUAGUAAGUAACAUUCUUUAAAAAUUUUUUUUUCACAGAGACCGUUUUUAAAACCUUUAUUGAAUUUGUCACAAUGUUGCUUCUGUUCUAUGAUUUGUGUUUUUGGCCUCGAGGCAUGUGGGAUCUUAGCUCCCCCACCAGGGAUUGAACCUGUAUCCCCUGCAUUGGAAGACAAAGCCUUAACCACUAGGCUGUCAGGAAAUUCCCAUCACUAGUGACAUUCUGAUAGCUCCUUUUGGCCUUACUAAUGUACAAUUUUUAAAAAUCAUAGAUGAGAACAUACUUGAGGUAGACUCUUGCAGUGAAGUCCUCCCAUUGGUGCAUGCUUCCUUCUAUCCAAGCCCUUGACUGAUGCCCUCCCACGCUGACUUUGAGCUUGGUCAUCCUGACUAGCUUUGGCUAACAUUGAUAUAAAGGCCUGGAUCUAAGUCCUUUCCCCCAGUACAUACACACACACACACACACACACACACACACACACACACACAUAUGUAAAUAUGACAAGUAUACCCCAAAUAUUUAUCUAUUCUCAUUCUGAUAUCACACAUUAUCACAGUUUCACAGUGUAUUUUCUACAUCAGAGAGAAUGUCUCUAGUAUUACUCUUAUUUUUUGUAGAUUUCUCAGCACUUACGAUGUUGAUUCUUUUUUUUUUUUUUUUUUUUUACGAUGUUGAUUCUUUCAAGUAACCGUGUGUUGGACACUUGCCAUGUUUUGGAGCUGCUUCUUUAGAGCAUCUUUGCUUUACAAACUCUGCCUUUUCCCCAUCUCCCAAGAGAGAAGCCAGGAAAUGUGAUUUCCCUGCCUCCCUUGCAGCUAAGGAAUAGCUAUGUGACCAAGGCUCCAGGAAUCCCACCCAAUCGAAUGAAAUUUUAGAAAUAAAACAACAUGAGAAAGUG